rnacentral:lncRNA from 1 species
CCUUUGUUCUCGCCCUGCCGGAUGAACGGCGGCCUGGCUCCUCCUCUCCCUCCUGGACCAUUUGGUUUCCAGCCCCUUCCCACGGAACCCGGAGAUUAAAGAAACGGUGAGAAAAAAGAGCUUGGAACGGAACGAAACAAAGAAAAGAGAGACAGUGCCACAUCUCCUCCUGGAGGACCAGAGAAGUGAAGUGACUCGUCCAAGGUCACACCACGUGCAAGUAGCAGUGCCAGGAUUAGAACACAGGUCUGAUUCGUCCAGUAG